AAUAAAAUUCUUCAGUCGCUCCCCUUUCUGUAAAGUUGAAAAGCUCUUGACUAUGGGAUGCAUAUUCUGACUUCACUGUGUUCAGAGUCAGCCAACACAUCAAAGGGUGAGAAAACAGCAGGAUGAAGGCAAUGACAUAUGUGAUAUCUGCAUAAACCUUAACUUGCGAUUCUCUCACAAGUUGCUCUCCACACCCCUGGUCUAGUAACUUCUUCUUUCACUUGAACCCUCUUUACUUCAGGUUUUUACACCAUCCAGUGGUAAGGAAAAAUGAUUGUUACAAACUUUGGUCCAAAGAUACAUUGAAAAGGGAAAGGGAAAAAAAGCAUAGAUGCUCCCAAAUGAAACAAGUUUCAUCGAUGUCAGCGGUAAAGUGUGUCACUGGACUGGAAGGGCCACAAGCACAGAUCAUGAAGAUCUGCUCUGCCAUUGUUCACGGCCCCUUGAAACAACUUAAACCCACUAACAGGCAAGGUUAACAGAAUUAUUACAAAGGAAAUACUGCUCUCUCUUUUUCCAAAUCAACUUGGAGCACCAUCCAUACAACAGGAGAUACACCAAGCAGUACAUUUGGAUCAAUUUAUAUUUCAACUGAAGUUGUAGAUAAGCUAACACAGGCACACAGUUGUCAAGUCAUCUACCCAGGGUCAUCAGACUCCCAGAUACACUGCUGAAGGAUGAAGACGCAGGAGAAUGCUGACUAGGCAGAGGUGUUCAGAGUUGAAGGAUGACUUCAGAACUAUGAAAAUCAACUGGGAAAAAACCCAGAAUCAAUGCAGCAGAUACUUAUUUUACAUAACUGCAAUUACAGACUAACUCAAAGUCAAGCUAUGUUUGAGUUUUCUGUCAGUAUAAAAUGAAUGUGCUUCUCGGCUAAUCAUUUAAAAACCAUCUCUUGUGAGAAACAGUAGUGUAGGAAAGUAAUAAAUCAGAACAUUUGCUAGCUUGCAGUAUAAUUUCAAAGGUUGUAUUAUUUAUGUUGUAACAUAUAAACUAUCAAGUUAAAGUGUAAGUUGUAAUUUAGUAUAAAACGUGACUUUAAAAAAUCUAAGGACAAGGUAAUCUGAUUCUAAGUAUCAUUUCUAUUAAAAGUUUACAUUUGUAAGGCAUUAAUAACAGUGGAAAAUGAGACACUUCAAUAUAAAUUAUUGGCAUCUAAAAUUAAUGUGUAAAACAUAAAGGUUAUUGCCAGAGAGCCAAAAAUUCUACUGAAAUAAUAAAUCAUCAAAA